AGAAGAGGAGAGCUGUGUUUUAAGAGUGAAAACUGACGGGAGAAGAGAAGAAAAGGGGAGGAAGAAGAAGAGAAAAGAGGGAAAGAUAAGGAAAGGAGAAGAGAAUUGGAGGAAAUAAGUUUAAAGGUUCUCCUAACGAUCCUCAAUAGGUUUUUCGGGUCUUUCAUCUGACAUUCCUUUUAGUUCUAUAUUUUUCGGGUUCUUAGUUUCUGAUAGCAGGUGAACCUUGUUGAGUGUUCCUGCUUCUUCAGUUUUGGGUUGGUAUGCCUUGCUUAUCUUUCAAGGCUAUUUGAUUCGAUGUCUUAGGCGCUCCACUAU